rnacentral:lncRNA from 1 species
CUUUAUAGAACAAGCAAUUUGGCUUUGAAAAUGGCUUGAGAGACCACUGGACCUAGCCUGCUGAAUUAAUCACUUUUGAGGUUCCAAGUGCUUGUUGAUGAGCAGGCAUGAUCUUGCUUGGUGGGGAAGGCAGAUUAAGACCUAGCCUAGCGCCACUGGACCUUGCCUGCUUAUGAAUUAAUCACUUUUGAGGUUCCAAGUGCUUGUUGAUGAGCAGGCAUGAUCUUGCUGGGUGGGGAAGGCAGAUUAAGACCUAGCCUAGCGCCACUGGACCUAGCCUGCUUAUGAAUUAAUCACUUUUGAGGUUCCAAGUGCUUGUUGAUGAGGAGGCAUGAUCUUGAUUGGUGGGGAAGGCAGAUUAAGACCUAGCCUAGCAAGCAGCCUUGCUGGUGGCCUGGUAAGCAUGUUGUAGGGUAAGUAUCCUUGUUGGAAAGUAGGGCACCCACCCUUGUUGUAUUAGCAAGACCUACCUAAAGCUCUUCUCCUUAGCACAAUAUAAACUUGGAAACGUACCCUUUUGUGUUGCAAAAGCGUCCGCUGCCGCCGGGCCUUGGUCUUCCCUUUUGAUGCCUUGAUGCGGAUGCGGCUAAAGAGUAGACACAGAGGGCCACAGCACCCUGGCAAAUUUUUUUUUUUUUUUGGCUCCAACUGAAGAAAUGCCACUAAAAAAUUCUUGAAUUAUUUUGAAGCUAAAUUAGUUUACGAUUCAAUCUUAAUUAAUCACUAGUUUGAAUAAAACAUUAAGAAUAUGUUGCUAAUGAUUGUAAUUACCUGACCUCAACUGCUAACAAUAUGUGUAUACAUGCUAUGCAGUUAGGGGUCUUAGAGAUGAGAUUCAGCAACCUGGUUGGCACCCGGCACAACAUAAUCUUCUAUCCUAUAUCGUAUAUUUAUAUCAUAUAGAGUUAAUAGGCCACCUUCUUAAUAUUGGGGACACACCAGGACCC